rnacentral:rRNA from 1 species
GGAUUAGAUACCCUGGUAGUCCACGCCGUAAACGAUGUGUGCUAGUUGUCGGGGUCCUUAGGGCCUCGGUGACGCAGAGAAAUCAUUAAGCACACCGCCUGGGGAGUACGGCCGCAAGGUUAAAACUCAAAGGAAUUGACGGGGACCCGCACAAGCGGUGGAGCAUGUUGUUUAAUUCGAAGCAACGCGAAGAACCUUACCCACUCUUGACAUCCUCCUUGGGACUUGUAGAGAUACUUGUCUUCGGUUCGGCCGGGGGAGUGACAGGUGCUGCAUGGCUGUCGUCAGCUCGUGCUG